rnacentral:rRNA from 1 species
AUGACCGCUGCCGCCACCUGGAGUGCUCUCCUUCAGAGUUUCUCCUCGCAAUCCCGCGCCUGCAUCAUCCAGCUUCGGGAUCAGAUCGGGCACACCAGGAAAGGCGAUUUCUCAGCAGCCGCCUACUUCACCAAGAUGAAGGGGAUCGCCGAUGAACUUGCAGCCGUCGGGAGGCCUCUGGAUGAAGAUGAUGUCGUCUCCCACAUCAUCCAGGGCCUCAUGCACGAGCCGGAAUAUAGUGGCUUCGUCUCUGCCGUCUCCACGCGCACCAUCAUCGACCAACCUAUCGGCCUAUGCGAGCUAUUCUCGCUGCUGCUCGCUGCUGAGCCACGCAUCGCCAUGCAGACCUCCGCUAACCUUGCUGCAAAGGGCGGAGGUCGCGGCAACUCCAGUCGUUCUGGGAACGGCAAUGGCGGCGGGAACGGUGGCUCCCACGGCUACAACAACAACAACACAGGCGCCCGCUUCUUUGACAACAACUCUGAUGGCGACAGUUUUGGUGGAGCGCCUCGCCAGGGUGGUGACCGUGGUGAUUGCGAGAAGUGUCAAAUCUACAAGUUUGAAGGGCAUGGAGCAUGGCGCUGCAAGAAGCGCUACGACCGCAACUACAACAACAAUGUGCGCAAUCCCGCGGGUGGUGGAGGUGGUGGUGGAAAACGAUCUGCCAAUGCCAUCCACUCCUAUGGAGUGGAUACCAACUGGUAUCUUAACACUGGUGCAACAAACCAUGUGACCGGUGAGCUGGAGAAGCUUGCUAUCCGUGACCGCUACACCGGACGGAACAAAUCCACACCACUAGUGGUCAAGGAUCGGGCCACUCGGAGGAUCAUUCUUCAAAACAAGAGUAGGGGUAGUUUGUUUCCUAUUCCUGGUAGGCAAGAUGCUCAUCCCCGAUAA